UUUAAUAUACUCAAAAACAUUUAAUUCAUCUAAAAUAAAUUAAAAUCAACAUACUAUUGGGUUAUGUUAUAAAUCAAUUUACAUUAUACAAUUCAUUAUAUGUGAAAUUAAUUCUUAUUAGUAAGUGGAAUAAAUCUGUCAUUAUGCAUGACUAAAGAUUAUGGCAUAAAGGUUUAUAACAUGUUUUAUUCCCCUGGUGUUGUAUUUUCCUUACUGAGUUGUCGAACUCACCCCUUUUUCCUCCACCCCUUUCCAGAUGACAACAGUAAGACAGAGUCUUUUCUUGUAAAGGCGUAGACCUCAUUGAGAGCGAUAGUUCGUGAUGAACCGGCCAAACCCUAGUUGCAUAGGAUUCCGCUAUUCAGAAGUGCUUCCAGAAGAUUCUACACAGUUUGCAAGGUAGAAAACUCGGUUCCUUGUCAGCCGUCCAAACGACGUGUCAUACUGUCCGGACACCCAUCUGUCCAAAGUGCCAGCCAUCCGGACGAUGUAUCAUACCGUCUAGACUCCCAGCUGUCCCAAGCAUCAUCCUUCCGGACGACGAGAACUUUCCAUCCGGACCUUCCCCUGUGUCGAGAAGUUUCGAAUUGCUCUAGUUUGCAUCCGUCUGGACGUUUCAGCAGCACUUUCGGACGACUCUCAGCGUUCGACAAAGCUUCAAAAUUUCUUUGCAAAGCACAGUUAUGGGAAGAUCGCUACAACCGUCCGGACGACGUGGAUUCCCGUCCGAACGCGCUCAUCCAUAAGGCAAGUAUUGCAAUUCAAAUCCAGACAUCUGGACGACUGUCCUCAUGGUCCGAAUGCGCAUGCAUCAGAUAUGAAAAUUGCGUGCAUCAAAUCAACUGUCCGAACGAUCAUCCCCCUGGUCUAGACGCGCGAAGCCUUUAUAUGGAAAUUACUUGCAGCAGAAGUGUGACUGUCCGGACGACAGGGCACCACCGUCAGGACGCGGCUCAAAAAAAGGAAAGAAUUUCAACGAAAUUCUCGGACAAUUGAUUGAACAGUUGUCCAUCUGGACGGCCCAUGACUGCCGUCCGGACGGCGCCAAGUUUUUAUCAAGCCAGACGUUCAUUUGAACCGUCAGCCUAUAAAUAGAGGUCCCUAGGCUUGAGAACAGCAAGAAUUUGGUAUUGAAUUCCAUUAGUGCUUAGAGAGCUAUAUUGUGAGAUUAUUGAGCUGAGUUGAUCACUCUGAAGCCAUUGCUGUGUGUACUGUUGUUGCGCUUAAUCUGAAGUCUAUCUUAGGGGUUGACCCUAAGUAAAGGAUUCCAUUGAAGACCCCUUUAGGUAGGAGACCUGAUUGGGAGGCGUUCAUGUUGGGUUACACGUUAGAGUGUAAGGUACAACCACUGCAUCAGGGGUAUGUGAGUGCUACUACUUUGUAACUAGUCUUGUCUUCUGAAUAGUGGAUAUCCUGGGUUUGGCUGCCCCGUAAUGGUUUUUCUCAUAUUGAGUUUUCCACUUCGUUAACAAAAA